UAAAACACCGAUUCUCCUACGAACUCCAAAGUUAAGCAAUGUUCAGUCUUCUCAGUACUUAGAUGGGUGACCGUUUGGGAAAACCAGGUGCUAUA